rnacentral:rRNA from 1 species
GACGAACGCUGGCGGCGUGCUUAACACAUGCAAGUCGAACGGUGAAGCGCGUUCCUUUUUGGUGGGUGUGGAGGAGUGGCGAAGGGGGGAGUAACACGAGAGUAACCUGCCCCCAUCGUCUGGAUAACCGCAUGAAAGUGUGGCUAAUACGGGAUAUUCUGGAUCGGUCGCUUGAUGGGUCUGAGACAGAUAUUGUGUCGGUGGUGGAUGGGCUCGCGGUCUAUCAGCUUGUUGGUGGGGUGAUGGCCUACCAAGGCGGUGAUGGGUAGCCGGCCUGAGAGGGUGGACGGCCACACAGGGAGUGCGGGACGCAAGAGACUCCGGCGGGCGGCAGCAGGGGGUAAUACUGAACGAUGGGCAGAAGGAUGAUGCAGCGACGCCGCGUGAGUGAUGGAGGCCUGCGGGUUGUGCACCUCUUUUGGGAGUGAAGCAGUGCUGCCUCGUUUGUGGGUGGGUUGACGGUAGCUGGACAAGAAGCGCCGGCUAACUACGUG